rnacentral:rRNA from 1 species
GAUGAACGCUGGCGGCGUGCCUAAUACAUGCAAGUCGAGCGAACAGACGAGGAGCUUGCUCCUCUGACGUUAGCGGCGGACGGGUGAGUAACACGUGGAUAACCUACCUAUAAGACUGGGAUAACUUCGGGAAACCGGAGCUAAUACCGGAUAACAUGUUGAACCGCAUGGUUCAACAGUGAAAGACGGUCUUGCUGUCACUUAUAGAUGGAUCCCCGCCGCAUUAGCUAGUUGGUAAGGUAACGGCUUACCAAGGCAACGAUGCGUAGCCGACCUGAGAGGGUGAUCGGCCACACUGGAACUGAGACACGGUCCAGACUCCUACGGGAGGCAGCAGUAGGGAAUCUUCCGCAAUGGGCGAAAGCCUGACGGAGCAACGCCGCGUGAGUGAUGAAGGUCUUCGGAUCGUAAAACUCUGUUAUUAGGGAAGAACAAAUGUGUAAGUAACUAUGCACGUCUUGACGGUACCUAAUCAGAAAGCCACGGCUAACUACGUG